CCUACGGGAGGCUGCAGUGGGGAAUAUUGGACAAUGGGGGCAACCCUGAUCCAGCCAUGCCGCGUGUGUGAAGAAGGCCCUCGGGUUGUAAAGCACUUUCAGUGAGUAAGAACGCCUGGUGGUUAAUACCCAUCAGGUAAGACAUCACUCACAGAAGAAGCACCGGCUAACUCCGUGCCAGCAUCCGCGGUAAUACGGAGGGUGCGAGCGUUAAUCGGAAUUACUGGGCGUAAAGCGCGCGUAGGUGGCUUGAUAAGCCGGUUGUGAAAGCCCCGGGCUCAACCUGGGAACGGCAUCCGGAGCUGUCAAGCUAGAGUGCAGGAGAGGACGGUAGAAUUCCCGGAGUAGCGGUGAAAUGCGUAGAGAUCGGGAGGAAUACCAGUGGCGAAGGCGGCCUUCUGGACUGACACUGACACUGAGGUGCGAAAGCGUGGGUAGCAAACAGGAUUAGAUACCCGUGUAGUC
rnacentral:rRNA from 1 species